UACGAAGGGGGCAAGCGUUGUUCGGAAUUACUGGGCGUAAAGGGCGCGUAGGCGGUGCGUUAAGUUAGGCGUGAAAGCCCUGGGCUCAACCCGGGAACUGCGCUUGAUACUGGCGCGCUUGAAUCCAGGAGAGGUUGGUGGAAUUCCCAGUGUAGAGGUGAAAUUCGUAGAGAUUGGGAAGAACACCGGUGGCGAAGGCGGCCAACUGGACUGGUAUUGACGCUGAGGCGCGAAAGCGUGGGGAGCAAACGGG
rnacentral:rRNA from 1 species